CAUGGAGGUGCUUUGAUGGGGCAUUUUGGUGCCAAGAAGAUGGUGGACAUCCUUGCUGGUCAUUUCUUUUGGCUAAAGAUGAGACAAGAUGUAGAUCGAUUCGUUGCUCGCUGCGCUACAUGUCAAAAGGCUAAGUCACGUUUAAAUCCACAUGAUUUGAAGUCAUAUUUGGGCAAAGAAGAUUAACUUGAGUCGAGGACGACUCAAAUGCAAGAAAGGGAGGAUGAUGAGGACAUCAACACCAACGAUACAUCCAGGCCUCCACAAGUACAACUUCAUGGUCCUAUUACCCGUGCUCGUGAACAACGGAGAGAUCAAACGGGGAAAGCAUUCGUGCAUGAUGGAUUCGGACUGCAGCACAACACCAACUUCUGAUGGCCGCCACGACUUCAUGCGAACUCCGAUUUGGCGUGCAAGUACUUCAUGGAAAGCUUGUCAAGUCUACUUUCAAAUGGAUCCAGCCUCAUAUCCAUAUCAGUUCUGGAGCGGCCGCAAUCUUCGUUUUACUACUGAGUCCUUUUCUGUCCACGGUGCUGGGUCACCUCUUUGGGCCUAUUGGGCUGUGUAUCAAGUGUGGUCCAUUAGGGACGCGUCCUAGGGUUAGAGAACGACCCCAGUACCCCUGUGGUCGUCCUCUUCCUCUUUUUAUAGCUUUCUCCACCGCCAAGAAUAAUUGGGUUUUGUUUAGAUCAAAGUAUAGCGUCGUUACUUCGCCGAGUUGAUCCCGUGAUCGAUUGGAUCAUCGGAUUGCAUGUUAGUACUGAACCCCACUUGUUACUUCUAUUGAUUCAAUCAACAUAUUUGAUUCACAAAUUUAGUUGCUUGUUCAUCUUGUUCUUGCUGGUUCUCGAUUGCUCGCAGGAACAAAUACCCUCGUGGUUGGGCUGAUCGUGCAUCCGUCGAGAUUCACGACCACCUCUGGAGUUGGUGUAACGAUUGCUAAGGCGCAACAUCUCUGGAUAGUUGUAGUCGGAUCGCCAACGUCACUCCAUCCAAUCGACUUAUCCCUCUCAUCGAAAGACUGGGACACCCUCGAGCACAUCAAAUACAGAAAUAGUCAUAUAAUAAAUCACUUUACAAAAAUCUUGCAUGCUAACUUGAGAUGAUCAGAUUCCUAAUUGCAGCUCAUGGUUUUAUUUUAGAAAAAUAUAUAUCCAAGCGAAUUCUUAUCAUGAAAUUAUUAUUAAAAUUGAAGAUGUUUUUGCCGGUUACUUACAAAAUAAAAAAAAAAAGAAAUCUUAGCGUCCCGUCACGGCGUCACCUCUGCAUGCGUAAAAAAAAGAAAUAAACUCCCGUCGCGUGUGAAAAAAAAAAAACCUCUCCCGUCUCGUCUGCGCUCCUUCGCCUGCGCCGAUCUCCAUCUCGCGUGCAGAGCAGGGGUGCCGUCGUCCUGCUGCAUCCUGGGAAAGUCUUCCUCACCCUGGAAGCAAACUGUUUUAAAAGAUUUAUUGUGUCACAUGAUAUGAAUCUUAAGAAUUUAUUUAUCUUGGGGCAGUCACAUUUCUGCUGAUACUGGGUAGGGACUACCUACGACAUGUCACAGUUUCGCCCUUCACAACAUGGUAGUGAUAGUGAUGCCCAGAUGUGGCAACGACAGAUGUUGUAUAAGCAGCUACAAGAGUUCCAGAGGCAGCAACAGCAGCAGCAGCUUGAUCAUGGAGGUAGAAUGCAGAACUCUUUUGGGCAGUUCCAAGCCCCUGCAAAACAAUCCCUAGCUGAUCAGUUUCCAACCAUGAUGAAUGAAAUGCCUAUGAAUGAGCCAUCAAGUUAUGCAUGGUCAAAUGGUAUUUCUCUUGGUGGCUCCAGGUUAGGAAGCAACUCUCAGAUUUUAAAUAAUGGUAACCCACAUUGGGAGCAACAUCAUGGUGCUUCUCUUGGCACAAGCAGCUUUGCAAAUGGUGCAGUGUACUCAAACAUCCAGAAUCUCAUGAGGCCAAUGGGAUCAGUUAAUAAUAAAGUAAACCAAUCUUCUCAUUCCCUUCCUGCUAGCAUGAGCAAAGGUUCUGGGAAUCAGUACUCCCAGUUCCCAGGAUUUCCUGCUAAUUCCCACAAUGCAAUGGCAAGAGCUGGUUCAGACCAGUCAGAUAUGACAGCAAGGUUUGCAAGCUCAAUUAAUUCGUUCCAGAAUGAACAUGGUCUUUGUGAACAAGUUACAUCCAAUAAUUUGCAGAAUUUUUGUGAAAAUGGAAGUGUAUUAAGUGAUUCUUCGACUCAAAGUCAAGGCGGUAACUUGAAGACAGGCAGUCCUGUUCUAGUUAAUCACUUACAACAUGGUUUUCAUGUUCAACAUUUUAAUGGCUGGAUGAACCAAGUUGAAUGUCAGUCAGCGCCGCACGUCGGACCAGCUAGCAGUGCUGCUAGCCUUGAUCCCACAGAGGAGAAAAUUUUGUAUGGAGAUGAUAACAAUUUUACUGGUUUAUUGGGAGAGGAUGAUUCAUCAGAUGGAGUUCCUGGUCAUGAUAACUCUUCAGGCAAUGGCAACUCAAGCAUCCCUGUGUCAGCUCAAGGGGGUAGCUGGAGUGCUCUUAUGCAGGAAGCAUUACAGUCGACAAGCAGUAAAAAUGGCCUCCAGGAAGAGUGGAGUAGCGUGAAUUUCCAGAAUAGAGACCAGGCAUUUACAAAUAAAAUGACUUCUCCUGAUCUGGAACAGAGGCAGCAUGCAACUUUAAAUAGCAUGAACCUACAUAGUGCACCUCCAAGUGCACAACCUUCUCCCUCACAUGAUGGUUCUUCAGGAACCAUGAAUAAUCUGAAGUUCACCAGUUUUCAGCGUGCAACGAAAUCCGUGUAUGACCAUCAGGAAAAAUUUUCUUAUGGAUCUACCUCCGCCGCUAUCAAUAAUCACACAACUACAGGAGCUAAUGAUGGGCUUUUUCAACCGAGUUUAAAGCAAAGCCAUUCUGGUGACUGUGGAUCACCAGAACAUGUCAACUUAUCAAUUGGUGUUUGGGCACAACAGAAACCUAUGCUGCUGAAACGAAAUUUGAACUCAGGUGGUGAACGUUUUAUGCCACAGAACGCACAAGGACUUGGGGUAUUGCAACAAAGCAGUUAUAACCAUAAUUUUAACGGGGAGUCUAGUAAUAACCAAAGCAACUGGAAUGGCCGAAAUUCCAAUUGCGUCAAUACAUAUUCAAUUAAUAAUUUUCAGCAGUCAAACCCUGAUGUGAACACUGUUCGAGUGCCAAAUGAUGGUUAUAGCAGUAAAAAUACUGUCCUGACGAGUUCAAGCACAGGAAUGUUUAGCCCAGGCCAACAUCAAAUGAUGCUUGGUCAGAGCGGGGGAAAUUUUGGAAGCAACAAUGCUCCAGGGCAAAGGCCACUUCCAGAGACUUCAUGUUCACAAGGAAAUAAUGCAGAGUAUGGACUUGCUGGCUUCAGCCAGAUGUAUACUAAUGCAAUUUCUGCUGAAGGACAUAAUUCAAAUAAUGGUCAGCAUUUAGGCAUCUCUUUUUCUGCAAGAGGUAAUUCCUUUAGUGGAAUGGAUGCCCAUAAUUUGGGCCAAUCUGACCAGAAAACGAUGGGUCCAUCUGCACUGCUGAAUCAUCUUAGUGCAACAUCUGGAAUUAGUACUGGACAUUUUCCAACGAAUUCUUUGUGCAAUAAUAAGUUAUUGUCAGAGUCAAUUCAGCCACCAAAUAACCAAGAGAACCUGCUGGGUGGGAGCUGCCAACUUGCUGGUCAUGUUGGGUCAACAAAUGAGAAAAUUGCAAUGGUAGAGGAACAACUUACUCAACAUUCUACUGCCAGCAAAUACUCGAAUGAACCUCCCUUCAGAGGAUAUGAUGGAACGUUGUUGCAAAACCCAAAUAAAAUAGUUCAAACAAGUCAACAUAUGCUUCAACAAUUUCUUCAGAAGGUGGACAGCACAAAUUCUGUUGUUUCUAGCAAUAUGCCCAUCAGAUCUGAUAUUACUCCUAAUCAACUUAACCAGCCCCCUUUACAAGGAUUUGGAUUAAAAUUGGCACCACCAAUGCAACAACAACUAACUUCAGGUAAUUUAUGGACCAGUCACACCUCUGUUGACAUCAAGCCAGCUGAUAAUUCAGUACCAGGGGAAGACCAGCGACAGCUACCUUCCACUCCUGGUUCGACGACUUCAUCUGGCUACCCGAGUCGAUCCUCACCAUUUUACUCAUCAGAUGCUGAUAAUACUGGACUGUCAAGUGGGUGCCUCCCCCAAACUAAAAGCUUAGGCCAGCAAUACCCAGUUGCAGAGCCAAAGUCUGCUCCUGUAAAUUCUCUUCCUCAGCAGUCUCUGCAAGGUACUGCAGCAACAAUGCUCAAGAAUGUGUGGACAAACAUCUCAGCACAGCGCCUGGGGGGUAUCCAACAUAACAAGAUAACUCCAAAUAUUCUCCAGUCAAUGAUGUUCCCAAGUACUAUUGGUGAUUCCACAUUACGGGGUUGUCCGAAAGAUGAUUAUCAAAGAAUGAGGGUAGCAAAUCUAUCUGAUGAUGCCACAACUACUACCAACUCAGGAAGGCAAGAAAUAAAGCGAGUUGUGGAAAAUGAUGGAUCUGACAUACCAAAUAUGGAUCAAAUGGGAGAUAUUUUAUUAGGAAAGAAAAAUGCCCUUCAGAGACCCUUGAUGCAGCAUGGCAUCAUAAACUCGUCACAAGGGGAAAAUAUGGCAGCAAACAUUCCAAAUAUGGGUUCUUCCUUUAACAAAGUUUCCACCUAUGGUGGCAUCAGUCUGCAUGGAAGCCUGGCACCAUCCAAUUCCCAGCAGAUAAAUUAUUCUCUACUGCAUCAGAUUCAGGCCAUUAAGCCUGUUGAUUCUGAUCCAGAAAAUACGUCUGGAAAGAGGCUUAAAACAACUGAUAUGAGUUGUAAUGCUUCACAAGUUGAAUGGCCCGGUGCCGAAAGAGCUCCACAUGGAGAAAAUAAUCCAUUGAGAUUAUGUACAGAUAAAACUGAGGUCCCAAGAAUCUCAAACUUGUUGCCAUCAGAUCAGAUGUUAAGGUUUGCUCCCAGGAACAGUGAAGAUGUAACCUCAACCAUGCCAUCGCAGGUUCAGUUGAGGGAGUUAACCUCCACCUCCAAUGAUAUGGCCACUGCAAGAACUGAUCUUCAAAAUCAAUGCUCAUCUCUUGGCACAAGCUCAACAGAAAAUUUAAUUGAAAGUGGUGACAAAUUAAUGAUCAACCCUCAGAUAUCACCCUGGUUUCAACAUGGUAGCAACAGAAAUGGUCAUAAUCUUGCUAUGUACAGUGUCAGGAAAACUGCAUCACCGUAUAAUCAUCCAAAAGUUCCCUGGAGCAUGGACACUAGCAGUGUUUCUGGGCAUGGACUUGAAUGCUCUACUUCUGUCAGACCUGAAAUGCCUUCUGGUCUAAAGGUAUCUUCUUCGGUGCGAAGACCGAAGAAGCGGAAAUUUAAAGCUCCUGUGCUUGUUUCUUGGAAUCAAAUCAUUGAUGGCCACCAAAAGUUGGCGGACAUGAGCACUCUGGGUAUGGACUGGCCUGAAGCAACUAAUAGAUUAAUCGAGGUGGAAGAUGAAGCUGACAUUCAAGAAGAUGCUCUCAUAUUAUAUUUACCACGUAAAAGGCUAAUUAUGACCUCUCGGUUGAUUCAGCAACUUCUCCCUUCUAUACCAGCGGCUAUUCUUAGGGCACAAGCUAUAUCAAUGUACCAAAGUGUAACAUAUACUAUUGCUAAGUUGACAGUUGGGGAUGCAUGCAGCAUGCCUUCAAAUUCAUCUUUGGACACUGGCACUCUCAUAAGUAGUGGGGAUAAGUCAUAUGAACAAAUUGAGAAUGACAAAAUGAGAGACAGAUUCACAAAGGCCGUUGAAUUUUUUAUUCCAAGAUUUAAAAAGAUGGAGAAUGAUUUUGUGAGCUUAAACAAAAGGUCUUCAAUGCUAGAUAUACAGUUGGAGUGCCAAGAUUUAGAGAGAAUUUCUAUUGUGAACCGGCUGGGAAGGUUCCAUGCCAGGAAUUAUCAUGCAGCUGGAGUGGAGGCCUCAUCAACUGAUCUUGCCCCUCGCAGAAUAUAUCGUGAUAGACAUGUCAUGACAUUUGCAGUACCUGUAAAUCUUCCUGAUGGGGUGCCUUGUUUGUUGCUCUAGGUCUAAGAUAUUAAAUUAUUCGUUGGUUUGGAUUGCACCCUGUAAUUUUCGAAAUGUGAAGAUGAAAUCCAAGGAGGUUGGUUGCAAAACUCCAAUCAACACAAGUUGAAGAAUCUGAGGGAUGCCAGCUGUGCCAGCCGAUCAACUCAGUGCUGGGUGUUAUUGCUUCUCCCUUAAUAGUAUAGGUCCCUGUAUAUUGUGAAAGUAAAAAAGCAUUGGAUCUCAUCUCGUAUCAUUUUCUGAUCGAGAAUAGUGCUAGCUUCAUCCAGUUAUUUUGUUAAUUUGGCGAACUUCAAUCGCUAUUUAUUGUAAUGAAAUGCUAGGUUGUUCUCUGGGGAAGGUGGUGUUUACAUGAUUACAUCUUUGAAGGUUUCAUUUUUAUGCAUUCUAGUUCAUCUGAACUCUCGGAUAAAUCACUGAUGUACUUUGUGAAAGUAUUCCUGGAACAGGUAUGGAGCUGAAUGAGGGCUUUGGCAACACUCUGCUCGAGACUUGCUGAUGGGUUCUGCUUCAUCCGUAGUCAUGGGCACGAAGUUGAUGGAAAGCAUUUGAAGCAUUCUGAUGAUUCUGUUGUUUUGUUUGGUUGGACUAGUUAAAGCAUGUUAGCCCUGGAGCUAUUUUAAAUUACAUCGACUGUACAUAAACUUACCGGUGAAUGCAGUACACACUUAUAAAAUGUUCAUUAUUGUGAAUCAAGUCCAAAACGAUAUAUUAUGACUAAUUAAAUUGUUGAAUGUGCAAAUAACAUUCAUAUAUAUUUUUCA